rnacentral:rRNA from 1 species
UACGAAGGGUGCAAGCGUUAAUCGGAAUUACUGGGCGUAAAGCGUGCGUAGGCGGUUUGUUAAGUCUGCUGUGAAAUCCCCGGGCUCAACCUGGGAAUGGCAUUGGAUACUGGCUCGCUAGAGUGCGGUAGAGGGUGGUGGAAUUCCCGGUGUAGCAGUGAAAUGCGUAGAGAUCGGGAGGAACAUCUGUGGCGAAGGCGGCCACCUGGACCAACACUGACACUGAGGCACGAAAGCGUGGGGAGCAAACAGG